rnacentral:tRNA from 1 species
UGCGGGGUGGAGCAGUUGGCAGCUCGCAAGGCUCAUAACCUUGAGGUCGCAGGUUCGAAUCCUGUCCCCGCUACCA